GGGGAAGGUCUCUAACCACAAGCAGAUUGGGCUGGGGCUGCGUGUCCCUGGAGCUCCCAGCCCACCAGUCUCAGGCACCCCUCACAGAGCUGGGACUCCUGGACCCCACUGGAGCAACAGCCACUUACAGUUGGACUCAACACAACGUCUCAAUCCUUUGGACUUAGGCCAGGCAUGGCUGCCCUUCUGUUCUGUUUCCUGCUGAUCUUCAUGCAAUAGCUGCUUUACGCUCAGCCGUCUUCAAAAACCCCAGCCCCGCCAAGUUCUUCCAGAUGAUUCUGUUGCCUGGAUUAAUUUAAGCAUCAUUUCCUCCUGAUGACGCAGCAAAAUGGAGAGCCUCGUGCUCCAGAGCACAAAGUCGGCAGAAAAUGUUGGAGUGUAUUAACAUCAACCUCAGUAUUUGCUUUUUCGUGAUACUUCAUCACCUUCUCUUACCCCUUUUAAUAUGGUCACAUCAUUCACGUGGGUUUAAGGCCCAGUUUCUGGGCAGGACAGCCACGAGGCCUCACCCUGUCAUCGCAGAGUUCGUGAAGUCAUCUGGUUGUGGCUGGGACACAGCCUCCAGCGGUCCCUAAACAAAGA